UACGUAGGGGGCAAGCGUUGUCCGGAUUUACUGGGCGUAAAGAGCGUGUAGGCGGCCACGCAGGUCCGAUGUGAAAACUGGAGGCUCAACCUCCAGCUGUCGACGGAAACCGUAUGGCUAGAGUCCGGAAGAGGAGAGUGGAAUUCCUGGUGUAGCGGUGAAAUGCGCAGAUAUCAGGAAGAACACCAAUGGCGAAGGCAGCUCUCUGGGACGGUACUGACGCUGAGACGCGAAAGCGUGGGGAGCGAACAGG
rnacentral:rRNA from 1 species